GCACUGCUGAGGAGUCCCACAAUAGGACAAAACGGCCGCCCAGUGC
rfam:Schistosoma mansoni, Puerto Rico, WGS project CABG01000000 data, contig: 0062